rnacentral:rRNA from 1 species
AUGCAGCUUCUGUUCGCGCAGGCCGCCAGCUCCUCCACGACUGGCCUCCCGUGCGCGAGCCCCCGCCCGUGCUGGUGCAGGCUGCCACACCGAGCUCCUCGCUCCCCGUCGCGCCUGCUCCGGUCGGCUCCGGCCUCCCGCCGGCUCCCGCGCCGCGCCCCCGCGCGGCCUUGGGCUCGUACCAGCGUCCUCCGCCGGGCGCCUACGCGCUUGGCCUUCCCCGGCCACCCCGCGCCCCUGUGGCGCCCCCGGGUCCGCCCCGCCUCAGCCAGCCACAGCCACGCCCGGGCGCCUCGCCUGGCCUCUACUCCAUCCGGGCUCCUCGCGAGCGCCUCCCCCUCGCCUCUGCCUGGACGGAGCGCCUCCGCCACCAACUUCGCGCCAGCCACCGCCUCCAACCACCUGCGCGCCCGCGCCCCGAACUCGGCCUCCCGUCGCCGGCGCCGCUUGGCCCCGCUUCCGGCCUCUCCACGCCGACUCCACCCCGCUGGAUGCCCCGCGCCGGGUCCUCUGCACCAGCUCCGCCUCCCUGUUGCUCGGCUGGGUCCGAACCCUCGCCUCCGUCCGCUCCGCACACAACAUCGGGUUCCUGGUCCCUCCGGCUCCGGCUCCGGCUGCUCGCCUCAACCGGCCGACUCCUGCAUCCCGGCCGCGCCCCGCCGGCUCCUCCCCGCGCGCACUCACAGCCGGUCGCGCCGGCUCCGGGUGGUCGCCUCGCGCCACACAGCUCCUCCGCCUACCAACCGACGUUGUUCCGCCUGCGAGCCCCGCCUCGGGCCGGCUCCCCGUCGCCACGCCAGGUCCUUCCCGCCGCCUCACCCCGCCAGCUCCGCGUCCCCGUCGCCUCACCGCGCCAGCUCCGGCCCCGAGCACCGCGGAUCCCGUCGCCGACUUUGCGCCCGGCCGCACCCGCGUUGCGCCGGCCGCGGGUGGCUUGCCCCUUAG